UACGAGUUGUGCAAACGUUAUUCGGAAUCACUGGGCUUAAAGGGUGCGUAGGCGGCUACGAAAGUCAGGUGUGAAAUCCCUCGGCUCAACCGAGGAACUGCGCUUGAAACUACAUAGCUUGAGGGAGACAGAGGUGAGCGGAACUGAUGGUGGAGCGGUGAAAUGCGUUGAUAUCAUCAGGAACACCGGUGGCGAAAGCGGCUCACUGGGUCUUAUCUGACGCUGAGGCACGAAAGCCAGGGGAGCAAACGGGAUUAGAAACCCGAGUAGU
rnacentral:rRNA from 1 species